GAUGAACGCUGGCGGCGUGCCUAAUACAUGCCAGUCGAGCGAACAGAUGAGGAGCUUGCUCCUCUGACGUUAGCGGCGGACGGGUGAGUAACACGUGGAUAACCUACCUAUAAGACUGGGAUAACUUCGGGAAACCGGAGCUAAUACCGGAUAAUAUAUUGAACCGCAUGGUUCAAUAGUGAAAGACGGUUUUACUGUCACUUAUAGAUGGAUCCGCGCCGCAUUAGCUAGUUGGUAAGGUAACGGCUUACCAAGGCAACGAUGCGUAGCCGACCUGAGAGGGUGAUCGGCCACACUGGAACUGAGACACGGUCCAGACUCCUACGGGAGGCAGCAGUAGGGAAUCUUCCGCAAUGGGCGAAAGCCUGACGGAGCAACGCCGCGUGAGUGAUGAAGGUCUUCGGAUCGUAAAACUCUGUUAUUAGGGAAGAACAAAUGUGUAAGUAACUAUGCACGUCUUGACGGUACCUAAUCAGAAAGCCACGGCUAACUACGUG
rnacentral:rRNA from 1 species